CCUGAAGAGAUUUGGGAGUGCUCGAAAGAGAACCAUCACACAGGUGCUGCAUGGCUGUCGUCAGCUCGUGUCGUGAGAUGUUGGGUUAAGUCCCGCAACGAGCGCAACCCUUGUCAUUAGUUGCUACGAAAGGGCACUCUAAUGAGACUGCCGGUGACAAACCGGAGGAAGGUGGGGAUGACGUCAAGUCCUCAUGGCCCUUAUGGGUAGGGCUUCACACGUCAUACAAUGGUACAUACAGAGGGCCGCCAACCCGCGAGGGGGAGCUAAUCCCAGAAAGUGUAUCGUAGUCCGGAUUGGAGUCUGCAACUCGACUCCAUGAAGUGGAAUCGCUAGUAAU
rnacentral:rRNA from 1 species